rnacentral:rRNA from 1 species
GACGAACGCUGGCGGCGUGCUUAACACAUGCAAGUCGAACGGAAAGGCCCUGCUUUUGUGGGGUGCUCGAGUGGCGAACGGGUGAGUAACACGUGAGUAACCUGCCCUUGACUUUGGGAUAACUUCAGGAAACUGGGGCUAAUACCGGAUAGGAGCUCCUGCUGCAUGGUGGGGGUUGGAAAGUUUCGGCGGUUGGGGAUGGACUCGCGGCUUAUCAGCUUGUUGGUGGGGUAGUGGCUUACCAAGGCUUUGACGGGUAGCAGGCCUGAGAGGGUGACCGGCCACAUUGGAACUGAGAUACGGCCCAGACUCCUACGGGAGGCAGCAGUGGGGAAUAUUGCACAAUGGGAGGAAGCAUGAUGCAGCAACGCCGCGUGCGGGAUGACGGCCUUCGGGUUGUAAACCGCUUUCGCCUGUGACGAAGCGUGAGUGACGGUAAUGGGUAAAGAAGCACCGGCUAACUACGUG